rnacentral:rRNA from 1 species
AUUGAACGCUGGCGGCAGGCCUAACACAUGCAAGUCGAGCGGAUGAAGGGAGCUUGCUCCUGGAUUCAGCGGCGGACGGGUGAGUAAUGCCUAGGAAUCUGCCUGGUAGUGGGGGAUAACGUCCGGAAACGGGCGCUAAUACCGCAUACGUCCUGAGGGAGAAAGUGGGGGAUCUUCGGACCUCACGCUAUCAGAUGAGCCUAGGUCGGACUAGCUAGUUGGUGGGGUAAAGGCCUACCAAGGCGACGAUCCGUAACUGGUCUGAGAGGAUGAUCAGUCACACUGGAACGGAGACGCGGUCCAGGCUCCUAAGGGAGGCAGCAGUGGGGAAUAUUAGACAAUGGGCGAAAACCUGAUCCAGCCAUGCCGCGUGUGUGAAGAAGGUCUUCGGAUUGUAAAGCACGUUAAGUGGGGAGGAAGGGCAGUAAGUUAAGACCUUGCUGUUUUGACGUUACCAACAGAAUAAGCACCGGCUAACUUCGUG